rnacentral:rRNA from 1 species
UUAAUUAUAGUUAAAUAGUAUUGUGAAAGAAAAUUGAAAUAAUUUGAAAAAUUAAUAUUUUAAAAGAAAAUUUAAUUUAUUGUACCUUGUGUAUCAGGGUUUAUUAAUUAAAAAUUAUUUAUUAUAAUUUUCUCGAUUUUAAAAGAGUUAAUAUAUUAUAAGAGUUAAUGUGACAAAAUUAUUUUAUAUAGUAUACUAGAAAUGAAAUGUUAUUCGUUUUUAAAGGUAUCUAGUUCUUUAAGAAAUAAAUUUAAUUUAGAAAUAUUAUAUUAUUUAGUUAAAUGUAUUAAUUAAAUAAUUAUUUUAUUUUAAUAUUUUAUGGGAUAAGCUGUGAAAUAAAUUAUUAAAAAUUUUAAAAUAGUUUAAUAAAUAUAAGCUUAGAAAUAGCUAUUAUUAAUGAAAUUGUUAUAAUUUAUUUUAUAAUAUUUAUUAUUUAUUAAAUUUUAAUUAUGUAUUAGGGUAUUUAUUUUAAUUUAAAAAAUAAAAAAAUAAUGAUAAAAUUAGUAUAUUAUGUUGUAUAAAUAUGUGAAAUUGAUAAGUUUUUAUAAAGAACUCGGCAAAAAUAAUGUU